ACCUGUGGCCAUGCUACCCUGAACAUGCUUGACCUAAAGAGUCAAGCAGGGUCAGGCCUGGUCAGUACUUGGAUAGGAGACCAUCUAGAAUACUGGCUACCAUAGGCU
rnacentral:rRNA from 1 species